UGCUUUCGAAGUGGUAACAGUCAUGAAGAUGAACAUAGGAAAAAGAAAUUGCUGAAGAGAUCAAGGCCUGACAGAAUCAAUUUUGCAAAUUUUGGUUUGGAGACACCUACUGACAUGCCUGAGGAAUGGUGGCAUAAAAUUCAAGCAAAAGGAGGCAUUGAUGUAAAGUUGGUGAUAAUGAAACAGAUGUUUGCCAGUGAUUUGAGUACUCACCACGAUUGCUUCUCAAUCCCUUUUAAGCAGAUAAGAGAUUUCAGUUUUCUUACAGAGGAUGAGAAGAGAAAGUUAAAGGAGCCCAAGGAGAAAAUGCCAGUUACACUCAUGGAACCUUGUGGUUCAGAGUCUAAGAUGUGGCUAAGGCAAUGGAAUUUGAAAAGUAGCAGUACCUAUGUGUUGACAUCUAGUUGGAAGAAAGUCAUAGAGAGGAAUCAUAAGGGAAGUUCAAACAAAACGACAUGGUGCAGCUGUGGUCUUUUAGGCACAAUGGAGAUCUCUAGUUGGCACUGUUUAAGGUUGAGGAGCUGUAGUGGCAAUAAAGGGGAGAAUGGCGAUGGUGCACAAGUCAUAGUAAUAUGUUGGACCUGGAACUACAAUCAUAAUUUGCUAGUUUAAUUAGAGUUGGAGUGAUGUAUUCAUAGUACACAAUUAUUUCUUUUGUCUUCUUCCUUGCUAGUUAUAUUAAAUUUCUGCAACUAAACAUCUUUGAUGUAAUUGAUAUGCUACUAUAUUUCAUAGAUUCAUCACCAUGUUCAAUUAUUCCAUGGACAAA